rnacentral:lncRNA from 1 species
AAAUAUGCUAAACAUUGUUUUUUUACCAAAUAUGUUUCACACCCCUUCCAGAUCACAUUGUAUAAGUAAUCCCGACACUCACCAAAUACAACCACAUCCACAUCAUCCUCAAUUCUAAAACGACCCUCUUAAUCGCACAAUCCAAACUUAUUUGGUGCUCUACUAACCAUUCCUUACCCAUAAUCAAGUCGAACUCUCUAAACGGUAGCUCCAUCAGAUUUUCCAGAAACACAACCUUUUGUACUUCUAGCGGUACAUUCCUAUACAGUAU